rnacentral:rRNA from 1 species
UGCAGUCGACGAUGAUGCCCAGCUUGCUGGGUGGAUUAGUGGCGAACGGGUGAGUAACACGUGAGUAACCUGCCCCUGACUCUGGGAUAAGCGUUGGAAACGACGUCUAAUACUGGAUAUGAUCACUGGCCGCAUGGUCUGGUGGUGGAAAGAUUUUUUGGUUGGGGAUGGACUCGCGGCCUAUCAGCUUGUUGGUGAGGUAAUGGCUCACCAAGGCGACGACGGGUAGCCGGCCUGAGAGGGUGACCGGCCACACUGGGACUGAGACACGGCCCAGACUCCUACGGGAGGCAGCAGUGGGGAAUAUUGCACAAUGGGCGAAAGCCUGAUGCAGCAACGCCGCGUGAGGGAUGACGGCCUUCGGGUUGUAAACCUCUUUUAGUAGGGAAGAAGCGAAAGUGACGGUACCUGCAGAAAAAGCACCGGCUAACUACGUGCCAGCAGCCGCGGUAAUACGUAGGGUGCAAGCGUUGUCCGGAAUUAUUGGGCGUAAAGAGCUCGUAGGCGGUUUGUCGCGUCUGCUGUGAAAUCCCGAGGCUCAACCUCGGGCUUGCAGUGGGUACGGGCAGACUAGAGUGCGGUAGGGGAGAUUGGAAUUCCUGGUGUAGCGGUGGAAUGCGCAGAUAUCAGGAGGAACACCGAUGGCGAAGGCAGAUCUCUGGGCCGUAACUGACGCUGAGGAGCGAAAGCAUGGGGAGCGAACAGGAUUAGAUACCCUGGUAGUCCAUGCCGUAAACGUUGGGCGCUAGAUGUAGGGACCUUUCCACGGUUUCUGUGUCGUAGCUAACGCAUUAAGCGCCCCGCCUGGGGAGUACGGCCGCAAGGCUAAAACUCAAAGGAAUUGACGGGGGGCCCGCACAAGCG